rfam:Candidate division WWE3 bacterium RIFOXYD1_FTLL_39_9 rifoxyd1_full_scaffold_329, whole genome shotgun sequence.
CGUAAACUAGCAAAUGUACCAAAGACAGCAAGCGCGCUGACUUAGGCCAAAAGCCUGUAUCCCCGCUUAAUCACUUGCCGAGGUAAAACAAAAAUCAUUCAAUGAGUCUAAUGUUUCAGUAUAUUGACACUCACUCUGAAUGAAAAAACUUUGUUUAACUCACCGUCUUUGGUGGGUAUUUUUUAUUUAAAA